AAUCGGGAUGGGAGGUAUUCCAUGGGUUAUAUUUUCAGAAACAAAAUAACUAAAUUCUGCCUUAAAUUUCUCUUCAUUCUACAACUUGUAAAGACAAAAAAAGCCAGAUAUCAAUGUUAUCUUGUAAGGUAGAGCAUGGUUACAGAACAGUAUUUUGUUUCAGAUAUUCCCAUAAAUAUUAAGGGAGUAGCUGGAGGAUUCGUGAAUCUGAUACACUGGUUUAGUGCAUGGACAGUGUCCUACUCAUUCAACUUUUUAAUGGCUUGGAGCUCUUCAGGUACCUUUUACCUGUACUCGAGCUUUUGUGCUGGAGCUAUUCUCUUUGUAGCAAAGCUAGUGCCAGAAACCAAGGGAAGAACUUUGGAGGAAAUACAAGCCUCCAUGAAUCCCUGAAAGGAAUGAGUUCCCUGAUAACAUGAUCCAGGGAAAAUAUAAGAAGUUUUGUUUCUUCUGGAUAUUAAUGCCCUUUCUUCAUGUUUUCUCUCUCAUAAUAUGUACCUAACAUUUAUUCCAUUCUUUCAUUUUAAUGGUUCUCCAGAUUAUGUACCGGCCAUCAUCAGCUUGAUGUAAUUCUGUUGUUGAAAA